rnacentral:tRNA from 1 species
GGGGAUAUGGUUUAGUGGUAUAAUGCUUCCUUAGCAACCUGAAGUUGCCUUGAAUGGAAGAGGUCCCGAGUUCGAUUCUUGGUGUCUCCA